rnacentral:misc_RNA from 1 species
UUUCCGUAGGUGAACCUGCGGAAGGAUCAUUAUUGUAUAAUCGAGGUGCGAGGGCUGUCGCUGACCCGAAAGGUCGUGCACGCCCGAGUGCCCUCACACACAUCCAUCUCACCCCUAUGUGCACCACCGCGUGGGUCCCCCUUUGGCUUGUUCGGAGGGGGGCUUACGCUUUCACACAAACUUUGUAUGCAGUGUAGAAUGUAUUUUUUGUUUUUGCGAUCACGCAAUCAAUACAACUUUCAACAACGGAUCUCUUGGCUCUC